AUCAGAGAUACAAAUCCAGCAUCAGUUCUUAUGCAUGGGAUUGAAGAAGCUCUACAACAGUGUAGUGUACAUUUGUUGGCAUUCUACAGAUUUCAACCAGUCAAACUAUGCUUCUACGAUUCCCGAUAUUUGGUAAGGUCGAAUGUCAACGUUCUCGAGCAGCUUCUUUCGCAAUCCCGGUAAACCCCUACUAAAGCUUCAGCUUUGUCAUAAAAG
rnacentral:misc_RNA from 1 species